rnacentral:rRNA from 1 species
AUUGAACGCUGGCGGCAGGCCUAACACAUGCAAGUCGAACGAGCGGCGGACGGGUGAGUAAUGUCUGGGAAACUGCCUGAUGGAGGGGGAUAACUACUGGAAACGGUAGCUAAUACCGCAUACCAUCAGAUGUGCCUAGAUGGGAUUAGCUUGUUGGUGGGGUAACGGCUCACCAAGGCGACGAUCCCUAGCUGGUCUGCGAGGAUGACCAGCCACACUGGAACUGAGACACGGUCCAGACUCCUACGGGAGGCAGCAGUGGGGAAUAUUGCACAAUGGGCGCAAGCCUGAUUCAGCCAUGCCGCGUGUAUGAAGAAGGCCUUCGGAUUGUAAAGUACUUUCAGUGGGGAGGCGUUACCAGCAGAAGAAGCACCGGCUAACUCCGUGCCAGCAGCCGCGGUAAUUG